AGCGUCGGGCUCGACCGC
rnacentral:misc_RNA from 1 species